UGUGUGUGUGUGUGUGUGUAUAUAUAUAUAUAUGUGUGUGUGUGUGUGUAUAUAUAUAUAUAUAUAUAUACACACACACACACCAUA